GCCCCCUGCGCGUUGUCAGCCCGGUGGUGGGACCGUGGAACGGGUGGGCUUCAGCUCCCUGAACCCAAAUCCUGGGGGCUGGUGGAGAGCAGGGAAUAAAACCCACUUCAGCACCGAAGGCGGAACAGCAGCCGGAGGAGUGCGGCGCUGCCGCCGGCCGGCCCCGAACCCCCGGCGGCUGCGGCCGGGCAGCGGGAUGCGCGGGGAACCGGGGGCUGUCCGAACCACGGGUAAUUGUCGGCAUCUUCCCUUUUUCUUUCUGUGAGGGCUGGCUGCUUGCUGGUAGUGUUGCCGUGGCCAGCGCACAUCCCUAGGAGCGGCUCCUUCCAGCAGCUCGGCACAGAGCCGGCUGUCGGGAGCCGGCGGUGCGACGGGUCGCGACGGCGAAAUCGCUUCGCUACCGACCGGCAGAGUUAAAAACGCGGCGGUAGCGACCACCGCAUCGACCCCGCACGGGCAGAACCGCUCACAUCUGCUCCUCUUCCCUCCGACACAAACAAGAGGUUUUUCCGCCUUAUUUAUUUUGGUUUUUUUUCUUUUGGUUGAUUUGGAUUUUUUGGUUUUUUCUGCCGCUUCCAGCACCCGACUCGCCGCGGCCGCAGACGAGCACCGGAUACCGCAGCGUCCAGGAGCGGGGUCCAUCCUUCCGCACGGUGCCUGCCCGGCCGUUUAUUCCCCGGCUAUUCCUUUCUGCGAAAAGAGAAGGGGAAAAAGCAAAAAAAGACCAAAAGAACCUAAAACACAAACACCAAACCAACCCCUAAUAAAUAAUAAUAGAAGAAGGAAGCGCAGCAACUUGCUUUAAGCAAAGGGCGGUAGGACCACGGAGCGCAGCCCCCCGGGAAGGGAGGUAGCGGAGGGAGGGCAGGCUGGCACCGGCAGGGCUCGCAGCCCCACGGGGGUACCGGCAGGUCCGGCGGCGGCGGACGUGAAAGUCCCCUUUAAGUUUCCAUAGAGAGGCCUCCGGGUGUCACAUGAUGGACAUGAUAUAACGAAACAACAUCGUGGGGAGGGACGGAGGGAAGCAGUGGGGGAGCCCGGGGAGGCGGCGGUGCCCCCCGACCCGCCCGCCCCGGUUGCACCUGUCUCGGCGCGCCGGGAGCGCGGUGUCCGCCCCGCUGAUGGGGCUGCGGGCGGCACCUUCCUCCGGGGAGGAGGAGAAGGAGAAGGAGGAGGAGGAGGAGGAGAAGGAGGCGAGCCGGUGGCGGAGGUUUUCUGUGACUGUUCCGCGUCCUGCUGCUGCUGCUGCUGCUGCUGGAUCCGAAUGCCGAGGCUACAAAGGCUUGUUACUGUCUCAUGCUGGGUCCCUCAAAUCCAAGAGCUACUUGGCAGUUUCCAAGGCAACCACCUGUGGAAUAAUUAAAAAGGAUGAAGUGUUAGCGUGCCAGAUAUAAGGAAUUCUUGCCUGGAGAGAGCGUUUCACUUUCUUCCGUCUUGAAGAAUCAAACGUGCUUCUGCCAGCAAAGUUAAGAAAAAGAAACGGUGGCUGAGUUGCACAAGUGAACCAGGACAACACAAAAUACCCCACAGAGAUGAUUUUAAAUGUCUACAGCAGCGGUGGCAAUGAAAAUGAAGUGUUUUUAUAAUUUCAACGAGGAAAUUCCCCUCAGCUCUUCUGAUCAUUAAAUCUGGGAAGGAUGGAGCAGUCCAAGAUUUGAAACUGUUUUAAAACUUCCAGCACCUAAUUAGAAGGAGGCAUCUUGGAGCAGCACAAUAGCUCUCUAUCUGCAGUUCAUUUGGUUUUCCAAUUUAGAAAUGACAGUUUACAGCCCUGGUGCGAGCGUGUUUCUCGUUAGCCUGUUCUAGAAACACACAGAGUUAUUACAAGUUUUGAAAGAUGCUUUCUUCAAAAGUGCAAAUGAUAUUAAAUAGCAGGAUUUGCUGUCUGGACAGCCACACGGAGAAGCUGUGGUCUGCAACCAUCCUAAGGCUGGUGGUAAAGGCAGAGCCAGGCAGCCGGACUUCAGCUCCAAAUCCGUGGAUGUCAUGGAUACAACUGCAUGGAAAAGAUGCUGCAGCAGGAAUUAGCCUUGUCCAGGGGAGACAGUUGGGAAGUGCCCCUGCUUUUCCUUGUUUCACAGAUGGAUCUCAUGUUUCUUUGGUUUUUUUCAUGAAGAUUUUCUUGGAGAGGAUUGUGUUAGCUGUGCUGCUGACAGAUACCCUCUGUGAGAACUGUCCACACUGGCUUGAUUUCCCUCUUCAGGAGUUGGAUUCCUAGUCUGAGCUGGUUGGGUUUGUUGUCCUUGGGGUAAAUGAAAAGAGAUCUGCAUGUCAGCAGGUGAUAAAACUUGAGGAACGGGUGUAAUUAUUUUGUUCACAUGGUUUUCUGCCCCCUGAAGAGAAGGAGAUUGAGAGCUGCCUGUCCUCAGGACUCGACAGAUGGGUUCAUCCUGGAUGGUGGUUUGGGGUCUGGAAUGUCAAUUCUACAAGGACUGGCUGAGGGUUGAAGAGGAGACUCAGGGAAGACCUUAUUUACCUGAAGACCAACAUUUAUCUGAGGGAAUUUAUCUGGUGAGGUGGAAUCAGCCUCUUCUGCCAGGUGACAAGUGACAGGAUGAUGGCAAACAGCCUCAAGUUUCACCAGCAGAGGUUCAGGUUGGAUAUCAGGAAAAAUUUCUCCACUGAAAGAGUCGUUAGCCAUUGAAACAGGCUGAGGGCAGUGAUGGAGUCACCAUCCCUGGAAGUGUUCAAAAAACAAGUGGACCUGGCACUUCAUGAUACAGUUUAGUGAGCAUGGUGGUAUUAAGCCAAAGGUUGGACUCAAUAAUCUCGGAGGUCUUCUCCAACCUCAGUGGUUCUUUAGUUCUGGUCAAUUAAAAUCAGCUUUCACUGGGCUUCCAGAGGCA